GUUUGCUUCAGAAACAGAUGCUGAAACUGGAACCAUGCAGAGAAGAUCAGCGUGAUCCCUGCGCAAGGAUGANGUGCAAAUUCAUGAAGCGUUCCGUAUUUCU
rnacentral:snRNA from 1 species